UUCUUUAUAGUCCAGCGCUCACAUCCAUACAUGACUCCUGGAAAAACCAUAGCCUGAGUGAGUGCACUAUGAUGAUUUGGUUGCCUUUGACUGUUUACCUUUGCUUCUGCACGUUCACACUUCUCUGAUUACGUUUAUUCUUUGGCUACAGUUUUCCCACAGACAGAAAAGGCAGGCAGAGGACAUGGUCGGGCAAGGACCAUGGAGUCCUGCUCCAUCAGAGACACGCUGGGGAAGGCAUGAAUUAUUGAAUAUGCCAACAGCAGGAUAUAUUUAAAAUUCCUUCUACUGGAUUUGAAAAAUGUCAUCAAUUAUGGAAUAAGCCAUAUUGAGCAGGGUCUUACUUGCAGCACCAGAGAUCUUUCAUCUUCUUUGGAACACGUGGGAAUCUUUUUUUUUAGUUGCAGCUUGUGAACUCUUAGUUGUGGCAUACUGCAUCUAAUUCCCUGACCUGGAAUCGA